rnacentral:tRNA from 1 species
AUUUAUGUAGUUUAAUUAAAACAUUACAUUUUCACUGUAAAAAUAAAAGUCAUUUUCAUAAAUU